rnacentral:ncRNA from 2 species
AUGUUAUCAAGAAAGGUGGAGAGAUUAGACUCAAUGAUACCUUGGCAACCCUUCGGAAACGGAGAAGGUGCUACAUUCUAACCCUAAUUUGGGUACAGAUAACAC